rnacentral:rRNA from 1 species
AAACAUGUCUUCUUGAUAAUAUUUUGAAGUCUUACCUGCUCAAUGAUUCAGUUUAAAUAGCCGCGGUAUUAUGACCGUGCAAAGGUAGCAUAAUCAUUAGUUUCUUAAUUGGGAGCUGGAAUGAAUGGUUUGACGAGAAAUUGACUGUCUCUUAAUAAUUUUUAGAAUUUAACUUUUAAGUUAAAAGGCUUAAAUUUUUCUUUUGGACGAGAAGACCCUAUAGAGCUUUACAUUUAUAAAUUAAUUUUUAUUAUUUAGUUAAUUUUUUAAUGUUAAUUUGUGUUGUUUGGUUGGGGUGAUUUGAAGAAUAAUUAAACUCUUCAUUAUUAAAUCAUUAAUUUAUGUUUAUUUGAUCCAUAAUUUGUGAUUAAAAGAUUAAGUUACCUUAGGGAUAACAGCGUAAUCAUUUUUAAGAGUUCUUAUCGAUAAAAUGGAUUGCGACCUCGAUGUUGGAUUAAGAUUAAUUAUGGGUGUAGUUGCUUGAUAAUUAGGUCUGUUCGACCUUUAAAUUCUUAC